GCCAGUGUAGCUCAGUUGGCCAGAGCACGUGAUAUGUAAUCUCGGGGUCGUGGGUUCGAAUCCCUCCACCGGCU
rnacentral:tRNA from 1 species